rnacentral:rRNA from 1 species
GACGAACGCUGGCGGCAUGCCUAACACGUGCAAGUCGAGCGAGCUGAUUCCUUCGGGAUGAAGCUGGCGGCGGACGGGUGAGUAACACGUGGGCAACCUGCCUCAUAGAGGGGAAUAGCCUUCCGAAAGGAAGAUUAAUACCGCAUAAGAUUGCAUCUUCGCAUGAAGAAGCAAUUAAAGGAGCAAUCCGCUAUGAGAUGGGCCCGCGGCGCAUUAGCUAGUUGGUGAGGUAACGGCUCACCAAGGCGACGAUGCGUAGCCGACCUGAGAGGGUGAUCGGCCACAUUGGGACUGAGACACGGCCCAGACUCCUACGGGAGGCAGCAGUGGGGAAUAUUGCACAAUGGGGGAAACCCUGAUGCAGCAAUGCCGCGUGAGUGAUGACGGCCUUCGGGUUGUAAAGCUCUGUCUUCGGGGACGAUAAUGACGGUACCCGAGGAGGAAGCCACGGCUAACUACGUGCCAGCCGCCGCGGUAA